UACAGAGGUCCCAAGCGUUGUUCGGAUUCACUGGGCGUAAAGGGUGCGUAGGUGGUGGGGUAAGUCUGAUGUGAAAUCUCUGAGCUCAACUCAGAAAUUGCAUUAGAAACUACCUUGCUAGAGGAUUGGAGGGGGGACUGGAAUUCUCGGUGUAGCAGUGAAAUGCGUAGAUAUCGAGAGGAACACCAGUGGCGAAGGCGAGUCCCUGGACAAUACCUGACACUGAGGCACGAAAGCUAGGGGAGCAAACAGG
rnacentral:rRNA from 1 species